ensembl:snoRNA Gm25275 small nucleolar RNA SNORA17
CCUGCCCCUAGAGGCAUUGCAGGUGUGGAUGCUGUGUCCCACGUGUGUCAGUAGGUGGCAGAACGGAGAGAGGCUGUGUCUAAGCUCAGCGAUCUGAGCUGACAUCUGAAUGACUGGCACCCUAGCAGU